rnacentral:rRNA from 2 species
UGUCUAAGUACAAACGUUUUAAACGUGAAACCGCGAACAGCUCAUUACAACAGCUAUAAUUUAAUUGAUUUUGACACUAUCCUACUUGGAUAACUGUGGUAAUUCUAGAGCUAAUACAUGAACUAAAGCUAUGACCUUACGGAAAUAGUGCAUUUAUUAGAACAAAACCAAGCGGCUUCGGUCGUUCCUGGUUGACUCCGAAUAACUCAGCUGAUCGCAUGGGCUUGUCCCGGCGACGUGUCUUUCAAGCAUCUGCUUUAUCAACUUUCGAUGGUAGUGUAUCUGCCUACCAUGGUGAUUACGAAUACGGGCGAUUAGGGUCGGACGCCGGAGAAGGAGCCUGAGAAACGGCUACUACAUCCAAGGAAGGCAGCAGGCGCGCAAAUUACCCACUCUCAGUGCGAGGAGGUAGUGACGAAAAAUAACAAGACCGUUCUCAUUGAGGCCGGUCAUUGGAAUGGGUACAAUUUAAACCCUUUAACGAGUAUCUAGGAGAGGGCAAGUCUGGUGCCAGCAGCCGCGGUAAUUCCAGCUCUCCGAAUCAAUCGGUUUAUUGCCGCGGUUAAAAAGCUCGUAGUUGGAUCUGUGCUCUUGGACCCGGUCCACUUUAGAGUGCGCACUGGGCUCCGGAGCUUAAUCGGUGCUUUUCCUGCGGUUGCCUUUACCGGUAGCCGUAGGUGGGUGCCAAGUUUACUUUGAAUAAAUCAAAGUGCUCAACACAGGCGUUUUGCUUGAAUGAUUCAGCAUGGAAUAAUAGAAAAGGAUUUCGGUUCUCUUUUAUUGGUUUUAAGAACUGAGAUAAUGGUUAACAGGGACAAACGGGGGCAUUCGUAUCGCUACGUGAGAGGUGAAAUUCUUGGACCGUAGCGAGACGCUCUACUGCGAAGGCAUUUGCCAAGAAUGUUUUCAUUAAUCAAGAACGAAAGUCAGAGGUUCGAAGGCGAUCAGAUACCGCCCUAGUUCUGACCGUAAACGAUGCCAACUAUCGAUCCGCCGGUGGAAAUUUUUGCCCUGGUGGGGAGAUUCCCGGAAACGAAAGUCUUCCGGUUCCGGGGGAAGUAUGGUUGCAAAGCUGAAACUUAAAGAAAUUGACGGAAGGGCACCACCAGGAGUGGAGCCUGCGGCUUAAUUUGACUCAACACGGGAAAACUCACCCGGCCCGGACACUGUAAGGAUUGACAGAUUGAUAGCUCUUUCUUGAUUCGGUGGUUGGUGGUGCAUGGCCGUUCUUAGUUGGUGGAGUGAUUUGUCUGGUUUAUUCCGAUAACGAGCGAGACUCUAGCCUACUAAAUAGUGUUGUGAUUCUUUGGUCACAUUCACUUCUUAGAGGGAUUUUCGGCGUUUAGCCGCACGAGAUUGAGCAAUAACAGGUCUGUGAUGCCCUUAGAUGUCCGGGGCUGCACGCGCGCUACACUGUCUAAAUCAACGUGCAGUACCCAUUCUCGAAAGGGAUUGGUAAACCGAUGAAAAUUAGCCGUGCUUGGGAUAGGUCAUUGCAAUUAUUGACCUUGAACGAGGAAUUCCAAGUAUUUAGACUUCAUCAAAGUCUGAAGAUUACGUCCCUGCCCUUUGUACACACCGCCCGUCGCUGCCCGGGACUGAGCCGUUUCGAGAAACGCGGGGACUGCUGUUUAGAAGGGCUUCGGUCCGUCUUUAUGGUGGAAACCGCUUUAAUCGCAGUGGCUUGAACCGGGCAAAAGUCGUAACAAGGUAGCCGUAG